rnacentral:rRNA from 1 species
ACUCAAAUGAAUUGACGGGUCCCCGCACAAGCAGCGGAGCGUGUGGUUUAAUUCGAUGCAACGCGAAGAACCUUACCUGGGCUUGACAUGUAUUCGCAACGCUCUGAAAGGAGCGCCUCCGCAAGGACGGAUACACAGAUGUUGCAUGGCUGUCGUCAGCUCGUGUCGUGAGAUGUUGGGUUAAGUCCCUCAACGAGCGCAACCCUUAUUUCUAGUUAGAGAUCUAGAGAGACUGCCGGAAACAAACCGGAGGAAGGCGGGGAUGAUGUCAAGUCAGCAUGACUCUUACGUCCAGGGCUACACACACGCUACAAUGGAGAGUACAGCGAGAAGCCAACCCGCAAGGGUGAGCAGACCUCUAAAAGCUUUCCUCAGUUCAGAUUGCACUCUGAAACCCGAGUGCAUGAAGUCGGAGUUGCUAGUAACCGCGUGUCAGCAUAGCGCGGUGAAUAUGUUCCCGGGGAUUGCACACACCGCCCGU